rnacentral:rRNA from 1 species
AUUGAACGCUGGCGGCAGGCCUACCACAUGCAAGUCGAGCGAGCGGCGGACGGGUGAGGAAUGUCUGGGAAACUGCCUGAGGGAGGGGGAUAACUACUGGAAACGGUCGCUAAUACCGCAUACCAUCAGAUGUGCCCAGAUGUGAUUAGCUAGGAGGUGGGGGAACGGCUCACCUAGGCGACGAUCCCUAGCUGGGCUGAGCGGAGGACCAGCCACACUGGAACUGAGACACGGUCCAGAGUCCUACGAGAGGGAGCAGUGGGGAAUAUUGCACAAUGGGUGCGAGCCGGAGGCAGCCAUGCCGCGUGUGUGAAGAAGGCCUUCGGGUUGUGAAGCACUUUCAGCUGGGGGGCGUUACCCGCAGAAGAGGCACCGGCUAACUCCGUGCCAGCCGCGGCGGUAAUUC